UUCCAGCUGAUGGCUCCACAUCUUGGGGGAAGGCUCUGAUUUCAUGACGGGCUGGGGGCUUCUCAGGAUUCCACAGCCCAAAUGGCGGGACAGUUCAGGGGCUCCAAGACCAUCAGGAGCAUGUGGUACCCACAUCACAACCCAAGACCAUGGGGCAUCUGGACAAGGAAGGUCUAUGCACACAGGGUUCCUCAUUCAGCUGGCUUCUCCGGGUGCUGAAUGAUGGGAUCUCUCUCGGGCUCACCCCGUGCCUGUGGGAUAUGUAUUUGCUGGAAGGGGAACAGAUGUUGAUGCUGAUAACAAGCAUUGCCUUUAAGGUUCAAAGGAGGCCCUCAAGGGCACUGGAAGAGCCAGACCCAUUUGUGAGAGCCUCCACUCCUCCCUGCAAGCGCUGACAGCCUCAGAGAGCAGCAGAGGCCCCUCACUCCUGCAGACUCCUCCAAGGGUGCCAGGACAACAAGCCUUGAGCCGGGGAGACAAGGGAAUCAGUGUCUCAUUAUCUCUACCAUCUCUACCAUCUCGGAGAGGGAGAUGUGGCAGGAUAAUAGGGUAAUAGUGGGGUGAGGGUCAGCAGGAAAACAUGAACAAAUGUCUCUGUGUCA
rnacentral:lncRNA from 1 species